rnacentral:rRNA from 1 species
AUUGACCGCUGGCGGCAGGCCUAACACAUGCAAGUCGAACGAGUGGCGGACGGGUGAGUAAUGUCUGGGAAACUGCCCGAUGGAGGGGUAUAACUACUGGAAACGGUAGCUAAUACCGCAUACCAUCGGAUUUGCCCAGAUGGGAUUAGCUUGUAGGUGGGGUAAUGGCUCACCUAGGCGACGAUCCCUAGCUGGUCUGAGAGGAUGACAAGCCACCCUGGGACUGAGACACGGUCCAGACUCCUACGGGAGGCAGCAGUGGGGAAUAUUGCACAAUGGGCGCAAGCCUGAUGCAGCCAUGCCGCGUGUAUGAAGAAGGCCUUCGGGUUGUAAAGUACUUUCAGCGGGGAGGCGUUACCCGCAGAAGAAGCACCGGCUAACUCCGUGCCAGCAGCCGCGGUAAUUC